rnacentral:rRNA from 1 species
GGCAUGCCUUACACAUGCAAGUCGAGGGAGCAAUCCUGGGCGAGUGGCGAACGGGUGAGUAAUACAUCGGAACGUGNCCUGUCGUGGGGGAUAACUAGUCGAAAGAUUAGCUAAUACCGCAUACGACCUGAGGGUGAAAGGCCUCGCGCGAUAGGAGCGGCCGAUGUCUGAUUAGCUAGUUGGUGGGGUAAAGGCCCACCAAGGCGACGAUCAGUAGCUGGUCUGAGAGGACGAUCAGCCACACUGGGACUGAGACACGGCCCAGACUCCUACGGGAGGCAGCAGUGGGGAAUUUUGGACAAUGGGGGCAACCCUGAUCCAGCAAUGCCGCGUGUGUGAAGAAGGCCUUCGGGUUGUAAAGCACUUUUGUCCGGAAAGAAA